AUUGAACGCUGGCGGCAGGCCUAACACAUGCAAGUCGAGCGGAUGAAGGGAGCUUGCUCCUGGAUUCAGCGGCGGACGGGUGAGUAAUGCCUAGGAAUCUGCCUGGUAGUGGGGGAUAACGUCCGGAAACGGGCGCUAAUACCGCAUACGUCCUGAGGUAGAAAGUGGGGGUUCUUCGGACCUCACGCGAUCAGCUGAGACUAGGUCGGAUUAGCUAGUUGGUAGGGUAAAGGCCUACCAAGGCGACGAUCCGUAACUGGUCUGAGAGGAUGAUCAGUCACACUGGAACUGAGACACGGUCCAGACUCCUACGGGAGGCAGCAGUGGGGAAUAUUGGGCAAUGGGCGAAAGCCUGAUCCAGCCAUGCCGCGUGUGUGAAGAAGGUCUUCGGAUUGUAAAGCACUUUAAGUUGGGAGGAAGGGCAGUAAGUGAAUACCUGGCUGUUUUGACGUUACCAACAGAAUAAGCACCGGCUAACUUCGUG
rnacentral:rRNA from 1 species